AGGUUCGUUUUCUUUUUGUUGCUUUGAUGAAGGUCACAACUAUGCAACUUUCUAAGGUACACCUCUAAUGCAAGCCCUGCUGCAAGCACCCAAUUCAAGGAUGAGUACGAGCUAUUGCUAAGAUCAGUAGCAACCCUGAUGCAGUUCUGGAUGCAGCUCUUCGAUAAGUGGUCGAAGAAAUGAGCAUUUGCAUUAUGUUGCAUGGAGAUGGUACAACCAUACAGGGCUACUGAAUUGGGUGGAUCAUUUUUCUCUAAGGUAACACAUGGAGUAUUUACGUUAGUAUGCUUUCUAUUAAUCCGGUGUAGCUGCUAAGAAAGUUUAUUUGUAGUUGA